rnacentral:lncRNA from 1 species
CUGUCUCUACUAAGACAAAUCAACGAGUUGAAGAAUAUAGUAACUAAUAACGGUUCCUCAACAAUGGUAUGUCACCCUUUCCAUCGAUAGACCAGCUGCUCCUUUUGCUUCUUCAUCUGUCCAAGACAAGAGUUACGUUCUUUUGAGUGUAGGUCUGGCAUGUAUGAAUGUUAUGUUGCUCUUUUUCCCAUUAGAAUAAUGGUGAACACAAAGAAUUUUUCCAAUUAAAGAAUCUGUAAGUUCAAAGAUUGCAUUACUAAAGCAUGAGAUUUAUUAUGUAUUGGGAAAUUACAUACUAAAAAUUCUACAAAUACACUAUUUAGGUCUGUUAAAGAUGUCAAUAAGCAUCUAACUCUUAGACAUGCAGCAGCCAAAUUUUUGGUUCUCAUAGCAUAUGUGGAACAUAUUAUACUUUUUGAAGAUUUUUCCAAGUAGGAAUCACUAACUUUCAAAAAAAAAAUUUGUCUGUACAAAUGCAUUCACAUAAUUGAAUUUUAUUUCUUCAAGCUCCAUAUUUAAUGUUAUUCAUAUAAUUUUCUCCAGUACUAUACAGUCAGUUGUCAUACAAGACGAGAUAUUCUCAUAGAAUAUUCUCAAAGAUCUCAUGUUUUGAAAAUCUUCAAAGAAUCGGGUAAUCAGAAGCGAAAUCUUCGAUUUUUUCAUUUGUUAAGCAUAAAUAUUCUAAGCUCUAAAGUCUCUACUAUUUUGGUUAUAAUUCUUUUUUCUUUUUCUCUUUCUCUUUCCUAUUCAGAUAUGUGGAUUGCAACAGAUUAUAAGCUGGAUUUUUCAUCAUUCUAUUGGAAAUGAGUAAGCAAUUGCAAUGUGUUCUGAUUUUCUUAUUUUAUGCAUUUUUUAAAUUUUGUUAUGUCGAUCCGAAAGAUUGUAUUCACACUUGCAAUAGGGUUCCUUCUAAAUUCCUUUCUGCAUUUUCUCUGUAGUUUCAAGUACAACUACAAACAAUUUUUUUUUCCGUCCUCUAUUUAAUAAUGUGACGAACCAGAGGGUCAUCACAUGUUUUUAAUCAAUUAUGUGCUUCCGAGACCUUAAAACCCUCAUCAAGAGCCGCCUCAAUUUGUGUGUUCAGUUCGGGCGCGUAACCGGAAAGCUUAAAUAUGAAAUUUUGUAAAAAUGCUAAGUUUUGAUAUUAAAAUGAAUACAUUUGACUUAGGUCAAAAUUUUGCAAAAACGGAACCGGACCCAUAAUUUGAUGAUCCCAGAGGGUCCGUAGAAAAUAUGGGACUUGGGCAUAUAUCCCGAAUCAAAUUCUGAAGUCCCAAGCCCGAAAAAUAAAUUUUUCUAUAGAAUUGUUUUCUGAAAAUGUUUAAGGAAGAUCGAAAUGAAAUUUGAUUAGAAAGCAAUGAUGUCAGGCCCGUAUUUUGGUUCCAGUGCACGCUACAUGUCUUAUAUAUGUUUUAAGUCCUUCCUGUAAAGUUUGGUUAAAAUCGGACGCGUUUGAUGUGUUUAGAACUUAAAGUUCUAAAUUUGAAACUUGAUGAAGUCUUGGGAAAAAUUCAUGAUCUUGAUAUUUGAUUCCUUAUUUUUGAGGUUAUUUAGGCGAUUUGAUCACACGGAUAAAUUUGUAUGAUGUUGUUAAGUUAGUACGUGUGUUUGGGUAGGAGCCCCGAGGGCUCGGGUGUAUUUCGGAAUGGUUUUAAACUUAGAAAGUUUCAGAUUUUUGCUUCAGUUGUUGCAGACCCUUUUCGUUCUUCGCGUUCACAUUGCAUCUCCCACGUUCGCAAAGCUUUAACUUUUUCUUUCUUCGCGAUCGCAUCCAAGCCGUCGCAUUUGCAUAGUGAUUUUUGGCACUGACAGCUGAAUCUUCUUUUCUCCAUCGCAUUCGCGUGCACCUACUCGCGUUCGCGGAGCCUUGCAGCUUUCCUCUUUGCAUUCGCGUGCUGGUUCACACGUUUGUGUAGAAUAAUUUCUGGGCCACAACUUUUUACUCUCCGUGUUCGCGUUCAUCUUCUCGGGAUCGCGAUGGCCUGUUAAGUGUGACUCCUCGCGAACGCGGCCAUCCUGUCGCGAACCCGAUGAGUAUUUUUGCCUAGCUAUUUUUAAAUACCCAAAACAGAACCGUUAUGGGAUUUUUAUAAAAUUUUCAAAGUUCCUCCUUAUCCAAGGUCCUAGGGCAAUUUACUAAGCAUUCUUUCACCACAAUCUCUUGGGGUAAGUAAUCUCUAGCUAGUUUCUUCCAUUUUCAUCAACAUUUAAUGAAUUUCUAGUCCUAAAACAUGUGAUUGAGUGUAGUAAAUUAGAAAUUUGGGUAGAGUUAAGACUUUUUAAUUUUUCUUGAAUUAGACCUCAUUUUAGGGUUGAAUUUAAAAAUAAUUUAUAUAUUCGGACUCGUGGGUGAAUGGGUAAUUUAAUUUUGGUCUGAACCUCGUGUUUUGACCAAGCGGGUCCAGGGUCGAUUUUUUUAGUUUUUGGAAAAAAUGAUGGAAAGGUUAUUAUUAGGCAUCGGGUUCGUAUUAUUUAGAAUUUAUUAAUGUAUUAAAGUCAUUAUUGUAUAUACACAAUUGAUUUGGAGCCAACUUGAGAGGAAAAGCGAAAUUGAGGAGUGAGUUGGUCCUGGAAGGUUGAGGUAAGUGUCCGGUCUACCCUAGCUUGAGGGAUUAGGAGUUGAGUCGUAUGUGCUAUUUGCUUCUUGAUUGAGUACGAUGUAUUGGAAUGGUGACGAGUAUCUAUACGUCGGUGUCGAGCAUGACCGUGAGUCCAUAGUUGAUUAUUGUUGUGUUCUUAAGUGACACUUCAGAUGUUUAAUUGAUGAUUCUUGAUAUUGAGGAAAGAUUUAGUUUAACCUCAUAGACUUUAUCUAUGCCAAAGGAAUUGGUUAUAGCUGGUUAUUCCCUUGCCAGAAAAUUUCUAUGUUGCUUUUGUUUCCCUUUCCGAGAUUUUAUUGCAAUAUUGUGUUGGAUUGCAAUAGGAGUAGGUGGUACGCCUAACACAAGUUGUUAAUGAAAUGAAAACAGGUGGUAUGCCUACCACAAGUAUUGAUGAAAUGGGACGGGUGGUACGUCUGCCACAAGUUAUUGAUGAAAUGGGAGCGGGUGGUACGCCUACCACGAGAUUUAAUGAAAUGGUAAUGGGUGAUACGCCUACCACGAGAUCUAAUGAAAUGGGAGCAUGUGUACACCUACCACGGAAAUAUGAGAAAUGGGAUCAGGUUGCACGCCUACAAUGAGAUGUGUACUGACAGUGAAAACCUAUUUCUUUUAUUUCCCUUAUUCAACCUAGAAUUAAAUUGUUAAUUUUCCAUUAUAUUCACUUUAAAGUUCUGUAUUAUAUGCUAUCCCCGAAGCAUGUUCCCCUCUAUUAAAAUAUUUAUUCUUGUCUACUUUCCAUUGUAUAUGAAUAUAACUACACAGGUUUAUCUGGAGUCUGGCCUUAGCCUCAUCAUUACCUCGCCGGGGUUAGGCCAGGCACUUACCAGCACAUGGUGUCGGUUGUGCUGAUACUACACUCUAUGCGCUUUUGCACAGAUCCCGAUACCGGAGCAUCAUACGGUGCACAACAGCAGUUUGGGAGCAGGCCUUCAGUCCACGAGAUCCCGAGGUAGUCCUGCUGGCAUCCGCAAGCCCGACGUCUCAUCUAUCUUUUAUAUCCAUGUUUCAUCUCCUCGUUUCUGAGACAAUGUGUCUUUAUUUUUAGACUUUGUAUUUAGCAUUCUUAGAUCGUAUGUGAUAAUGUGACACUAGGUUUUGGG